UACGUAGGGGGCAAGCGUUGUCCGGAAUCAUUGGGCGUAAAGAGCGUGUAGGCGGUCCGGUCAGUCGGUUGUGAAAGUCAAGGGCUCAACCCUUGAAUGCCGGCCGAUACUGCCGGGCUAGAGUCCGGAAGAGGUGAGUGGAAUUCCUGGUGUAGCGGUGAAAUGCGUAGAUAUCGGAAGGAACAUCAGUGGCGAAAGCGACUUCUUGGACCAAUACUGACGCUCAAGUGCGAAAGCGUGGGUAGCAAACAGG
rnacentral:rRNA from 1 species